GCCCCAAAAACCCAAAUGUUAAAAAUUUCAAGAAUGACUUAUUUUUAUAUGGUGUGACAUUAAGGUAACUGAGUUAGCGAACUUGGUUUUAAAUACAAGUUAGUAUGUGAAACGAAAUAAAUGGCAAGUUUUAAAAGUUUGAGGGGUUAAAAGGAAAAUGUGUUAAAUAAAACAUUUACAAAAAAAAAUGUCAGUAACUUGGGGGGUUCUAUGCGUGCGAUCGAGAGCAGGGCCAAAGGGAAGAGCCAAAAACCCUAACAACCAAAAAUCAUCAAAUUGAUAAGGAGAUCAAGGGAAAAAUCGAAUGCAUGAGUCUGGAUACUCUUUAAUCUAAGUGUAUUGAUCAUAAGGAUAGGAACCCCAAAUUGACAUGGACUCAAAUAUGGAAGGCUAACGGAUCAAGAGGAAAUGAGGAAGUUAUGCACAAACUUGGACGCACGAGGUAAGUGAUCUCUAUAAUCACUUAUUUAGUUGUUUAAGUAAUAUAAUGUUUUAAUUAUUAAGUUUAUAUGAAGUUGAGGUCAAAUCGAUAGAUUAUUUUGAUAAAUGCACGAAUGGAUCGAAUAAUUCAUAGAUGGAUAACAAGCCGAAUACGUAUAAGUUAAGAAAUUUCUUAACUCGGAUGUUGGAUCUCAAGUUCACAUGAUAGAAGGUUAAUUUACAAUCAUGUAGGAAGAAACGGGAGGUUAAACGGGUAAACGGUUUGAAAGUUACGCAAGUUUUAACGUAAACGGACAAAGUUGGAAAAGCUGCAGAGUAGCCAAAUCGUAAGCUACAGUUCAGUCGUAGGCUACAGAACGUAGCUGCUGUUUGGAUCAGAGCAGCCAAAUCGUAAGCUACAGUUCAGUCGUAGGCUACAGAACGUAGCUGCUGUUUGGACCAAACAACUGAAUCGUAAGCUACAGCUGAGCCGUAGCUUACGGCGGCAGUUAUGCAAAAAGUUGAUUGUUUUGUUAUUUUUGACCUUCGGGCAUAAAUAGAUACGUUAUAAACUCCUCUUAACUAAUAUUUUUGGGUUAUAAACUCAAGUCUAAGCACCAUAUAAUUAAUAUAUGAGUAUGAUGAUCGAAUGCGAGUAGGUUAAUCAAGAAUUGGAUGUAAGUAAAUAUGUGUAGACAUGAUUAUGUAAGCAUGUAACGGAUGGAACUUGUUUAUAAGUAAGUCUAUUAUCGGAUGGUCAUAUGCAUGACUAGGGAGGUGUGUUAAUUUAAAUUAAGUGAAUAGGAUGGUAUGUAAUUAUGAAUAAUUGGAGUCAUGGUGAGUUUAAGUCGUAUAAACAAGUAUGCGUGAUGUGUAUAGAAAAAAAAAUAUAUAUAUAUAUAUAUAUAUGUAUGUACAUAAUUAUGUGAAAGGCGUACAUAGUGUUGUAGUUAAAUAGAUGUAUAAAUGGUUGGCGAUCUUUUUAUGAAAAUGUAGUACUUGAAUAUGUGGGGAUUACGGGUUUGCUAACCAAAUUAUUAUUGAGUAUGUUGAAAGUGCAGGUUUAUGAAUGUCGGACUUUCGAAGUGUUGAUAUAGUAAUGAAAUGAUUGAGUGUUGGAAGAUAAUCGGGUUGAAGUAACUUAAGCGGUUAGAAUAUGCUAUGGACGUUUUAGUUUAUACAAUAUUUUAUGUUUGGUCGUCACCACCUACUAACAGGUUAGUUGUAUGAGAAUAUAUGUGAUACCCAUUUAAUUGGGAAAUCGAAUGCGUAAGAGAAAUGAGAGUAUGUACAUGAAUGGAAUUAAAAUGACGGUUUUAUAAGCAAACAAGUAUAAAGACUAACUUUUUAAAGCUUUGUUGUUGAAUGUAGGUAAACCCUCAAUUCAGGCGACUUGGAGAAUCGGAGCGAGCGCGUGUUCAUGUUAUGUCAUACCAAACGCUUCCGCUAGCUUGUUCAAAUGUUUUUAGUCCAAAAUUUGUUGUAUUGGUUCUUAGUAGUAUUUUGUCGAAUAAAUCGUAGAAUUGUAACUAGUUUGAUUAUGUUUAAAACAGGGGUAUGCUCGUUUUAUGAACGGGUCAUGCCCAAUUUUUGUUAAAUUAUAGUAUGAUAAUAUCACAUUUAGGAAGAUGAAAUUUUGGGCGUAACAAGUUGGUAUCAGAGCCUAGGUUGAGGGAUUCGAGCACGAAUAGUGGUGCUUGAACUCAACCGAUGGCUCCUUCGAAAGAGUGCUCGCUCCAAGAUCACCAAUGAGAUGGCAGAUGCAAGCAACGUUAAUGAUGAUGAUGAUACUGUUCGUCAAAGAAACAUUAUUCAACAAGGUCGCGGAAGUGGUGGAAGGGAUGAUCCGUGAACGCGGUCUAGGACCGGCAUCAAGGCAAGUAAUAAGACGAAUUGACCCCUGGUAUGUAUACUAAACGCGUUGAUGUAUGAAAUAGUAUAAUUAUGCAAGUGAAAGAAAAAUCUAAAUGAAUAUAACAACGACAUGGUAAAGGAGUUUUUAAAAUGUAACACGUGCCGAAACUUAAUUCUUCGGGCAUAAUAUGGCGAUUACGCGAAGACACGAAACUAGUACGUGGGUUGUGUACCUGGCCAGUACACAAGAAACGUAUGACGUUCGUGGGACCGCGAUAAUUGUUACAUGUAUGUCCGUUAGAAUUAGGUAGCAGGUGGGCGUACGGGUGAAACGAGUAGUAAGACUCUCGGGAGAUUGAGAGUACUACGUAAGAGUAAAAAGUACAAGUGAUAAGAAUAAAAUGUUGAAUCCGUAAGAAGUACGGACCAACAAUGUAUGAAUGCAAUGCUUGAAUCCGCGAGACGGAUUCAAGGAAUGAAAGAUACGAAUGCAAUGCUUGAAUCCGCGAGACGGAUUCAAGG